AGGCACGGCCCAAAAGAUGCAGCUGGGGUCAGGAGCAGGGCCAUCAGGACUAACUCCACGACUGAUUCUCUUCACCUUACGGAUGGAGAAGAAAUCGAAAACCGUUUGGGCAAAUGCAUUUGCCCCCUCCCCCCGCCAUGGGCGUCCCCAGCUUCUGAUUCAUGAAGGUCACUCUUGCGAAGUCCCACUGACCAAGGGACCAAAGGCCUAACUCACUAGACCCGGAGGCCUGGGUGGAGCUGUUCCUUAGGGUGUCCUAAUUCCGGCCUCAGACUCAGACCUCCGCCCCACACACAACCCUUUGACCCAUGCCAAGCCUUAUCUGAUUAAAGGAUUUUUGUUACUCCGGC